CGUUAAGUUGCAGGGUAUAGACCCGAAACCCGGUGAUCUAGCCAUGGGCAGGUUGAAGGUUGGGUAACACUAACUGGAGGACCGAACCGACUAAUGUUGAAAAAUUAGCGGAUGACUUGUGGCUGGGGGUGAAAGGCCAAUCAAACCGGGAGAUAGCUGGUUCUCCCCGAAAGCUAUUUAGGUAGCGCCUCGUGAAUUCAUCUCCGGGGGUAGAGCACUGUUUCGGCAAGGGGGUCAUCCCGACUUACCAACCCGAUGCAAACUGCGAAUACCGGAGAAUGUUAUCACGGGAGACACACGGCGGGUGCUAACGUCCGUCGUGAAGAGGGAAACAACCCAGACCGCCAGCUAAGGUCCCAAAGUCAUGGUUAAGUGGGAAACGAUGUGGGAAGGCCCAGACAGCCAGGAUGUUGGCUUAGAAGCAGCCAUCAUUUAAAGAAAGCGUAAUAGCUCACUGGUCGAGUCGGCCUGCGCGGAAGAUGUAACGGGGCUAAACCAUGCACCGAAGCUGCGGCAGCGACACUGUGUGUUGUUGGGUAGGGGAGCGUUCUGUAAGCCUGUGAAGGUGUGCUGUGAGGCAUGCUGGAGGUAUCAGAAGUGCGAAUGCUGACAUAAGUAACGAUAAAGCGGGUGAAAAGCCCGCUCGCCGGAAGACCAAGGGUUCCUGUCCAACGUUAAUCGGGGCAGGGUGAGUCGACCCCUAAGGCGAGGCCGAAAGGCGUAGUCGAUGGGAAACAGGUUAAUAUUCCUGUACUUGGUGUUACUGCGAAGGGGGGACGGAGAAGGCUAUGUUGGCCGGGCGACGGUUGUCCCGGUUUAAGCGUGUAGGCUGGUUUUCCAGGCAAAUCCGGAAAAUCAAGGCUGAGGCGUGAUGACGAGGCACUACGGUGCUGAAGCAACAAAUGCCCUGCUUCCAGGAAAAGCCUCUAAGCAUCAGGUAACAUCAAAUCGUACCCCAAACCGACACAGGUGGUCAGGUAGAGAAUACCAAGGCGCUUGAGAGAACUCGGGUGAAGGAACUAGGCAAAAUGGUGCCGUAACUUCGGGAGAAGGCACGCUGAUAUGUAGGUGAAGUCCCUCGCGGAUGGAGCUGAAAUCAGUCGAAGAUACCAGCUGGCUGCAACUGUUUAUUAAAAACACAGCACUGUGCAAACACGAAAGUGGACGUAUACGGUGUGACGCCUGCCCGGUGCCGGAAGGUUAAUUGAUGGGGUCAGCGCAAGCGAAGCUCUUGAUCGAAGCCCCGGUAAACGGCGGCCGUAACUAUAACGGUCCUAAGGUAGCGAAAUUCCUUGUCGGGUAAGUUCCGACCUG
rnacentral:rRNA from 1 species